CAAUAGCGUAUAUUAAAGUUGUUGCGGUUAAAAAGCUCGUAGUUGGAUUUCUGCUGAGAACGACCGGUCCGCCCUUUGGGUGUGUAUCUGGCUCUUUCUUGGCAUCUUCUUGGUGAACGUUGCUGCACUUGACUGUGUGGAGCGCUACCCAGGACUUUUACUUUGAGGAAAUUAGAGUGUUCACGGCAGGCAAACGCCUUGAAUAUAUUAGCAUGGAAUAAUAACAUAGGAUCUUCGUCCUAUUUUGUUGGUUUCUAGGGCUAAGAUAAUGAUUAAUAGGGAUAAUUGGGGGCAUCUGUAUCAACGCGUCAGAGGUGGAAUUCUUGGAUUGCGUUGCGACAAACUACUGCGAAAGCAUUUGCCAAGGAUGUUUUCAUUGA
rnacentral:rRNA from 1 species